CUUCAGCGACCCCAGCCACAGCGGCCGGCCGGCGGGCCGUCCGCGCCCGUAGGUGGCCAGCAGGGCCGCCAGCUC
rfam:Frankia sp. EAN1pec, complete genome.